GGCUCCCCUUCGCUUCCUGGAGGGUCUCGAGCUUGUGGGUGAGGCUUCCGAUGAGCUCAGCCUGGAACAACAGCAGAGCCACACAGCAAAGAUGAGCCAGCGGCCAGCCAGCACCCUUCGCUGGCAGCCAUGAUGGUGUGAGACAGAGCGGCGGACGUAACUCCAGAAUCGCCUGCUAGGGAGUGCUGAGCUUGGGUAACUUCCUUCCUGUGAGGAGAGCUCCGGACAAGAGCAGACACUGUCAGGCGGUCCAGGGCUUCCCCGCCAGAGCAUGGCCAACAGCUAGGAGACGCCAGCCCUGGUGUUUUUAAGCCUGGACAGUUUUUAAGCUUGCCAGGCGCUCUAUUAUGAGCUGAUACUAUAUUCAGCCAGGCAUGCUCAGUAAACUCCUGUAAUCCCAGCACUUGGGAGGAAGGAGCCGAGGCCAGCUGCAAGUUCAAGGCCUGGUCUACACAGUGAGUUCCAGGGGCAUUAUGGCUACACAGCAAGACCUUCUCUCAAAACACCCAGGGUGGUCAAGAUGGCCCAGCAGGUGGGGUGCUUGCCACCAAGCCCGACUAACACCCUGAUCUCCCACAGCUGCAGGAGAGAACAGAGUCGCCCCGGCUGUCAGCUGACUCCAAAUGUAUGUGCUGUUGAGCACACAUACAUUCUACACAAAUGUAUAAUAAGUACUAUAGUGUUUUUAAAAUAGAAAACACAGGGCCAGAGAGCCAGCUUAUCAGGUCAAGGGCUGUGCCAUGCAGGGUUAGCAACCCGAAUCCCUGGCGCCUACAUAAGCGUGGGGGGGGGAAGGACCCCCACAAAGCUGCUCUAAUGGCCACCUGCAUCCACGGCACAUGAGCCUCAGACACACACCAGGCAUGUGCACGCUGUAACUAAAAACAGAAAACUGGAGUUCAUCUAAAAUGAUCUGCUCUACAGAAGAAAGCUUUCUGCUUGCCCAGAUUUUUGGCAUCUGUUUUAAACUCCUGUCCUAAAAUUUCUAGAAAAACGCUUAAACACAACUGUAGAAAAAGAGGAUUAACAGCCUCGGUUUUCAUUGUUUCUCUAAAUGUGACUUCUUUUGGAUCUAACAUUUUAUGACAUUAUUAUCUAUCAAUAAAGAUUUAAUUGAUGUUUGCCCCCA